UUUGUUUUGCCAAUAAUAAAG
rnacentral:piRNA from 1 species